rnacentral:rRNA from 1 species
AUGAGCGUGACACUCCAGGAUAUUGCUAUGAUCACCGGUCUUCCUAUCAAGGGGAAUCCUCUAUGUAUGAACACCGAUUCUGAUGGGUGGCGCGCCCAGAUGCAUGCCCUUAUCGGCAUGGUUCCUCCGGAGCCUCGGGAACCAGAAGCAGAAGACAAGAAGAAGGAAAGAGUCGCAGACUAUGUUUGCUGA